AACACUGUUAACCUGCGGUACCUGCGGAGGGAUCAUUACCGAGUUUACAACUCCCAAACCCCUGUGAACAUACCUAUACGUUGCCUCGGCGGAUCAGCCCGCGCCCCGUAAAACGGGACGGCCCGCCCGAGGACCCUAAACUCUGUUUUUAGUGGAACUUCUGAGUAAAACAAACAAAUAAAUCAAAACUUUCAACAAUGGAUCU
rnacentral:misc_RNA from 1 species